GACAGUGCUGACACUACAAGGCUCGGAGCUCCGGGCACUCAGACAUCAUGAGUUGGUCCUUGCACCCCCGGAAUUUAAUUCUCUACUUCUAUGCUCUUUUAUUUCUCUCUUCAACAUGUGUAGCAUAUGUUGCUACCAGAGACAACUGCUGCAUCUUAGAUGAAAGAUUCGUAAGUAGUUUUUAUGUUUCUCCCUUUGUGUGUGAACUGGAGAGGGGCAGAGGAAUAGAAAUAAUUCCCUCAUAAAUAUCAUCUGGCACUUGUAACUUUUUAAAAACAUAGUCUAGGUUUUACCUAUUUUUCUUAAUAGAUUUUAAGAGUAGCAUCUGUCUACAUUUUUAAUCACUGUUAUAUUUUCAGGGUAGUUAUUGUCCAACUACCUGUGGCAUUGCAGAUUUCCUGUCUACUUAUCAAACCAAAGUAGACAAGGAUCUACAGUCUUUGGAAGACAUCUUACAUCAAGUUGAAAACAAAACAUCAGAAGUCAAACAGCUGAUAAAAGCAAUCCAACUCACUUAUAAUCCUGAUGAAUCAUCAAAACCAAGUGAGAAAAUAAAGACUACUGACCAAAAAAUAAUAAUAAUAAUCUGUGAAGUUCUUUUGCUGUUGUUUUAGUUGUUCUAUUUGCUUAAGGAUUUUUAUGUCUCUGAUCCUAUAUUACAGAUAUGAUAGACGCUGCUACUUUGAAGUCCAGGAAAAUGUUAGAAGAAAUUAUGAAAUAUG
rnacentral:lncRNA from 1 species